UAAGACGGGGACUGGGAGGUGAGGGGGAACCACGCCUGUGAGUCAGCCGUAAUCAGAGCCCGGGAAAGGCCGCAAACUAAUUAGCCUCAUGUGGAAAAACGCCUUCCAAACGGGCAGGAUAAGUGGCCUGAAAACAGGAGAAAACCUGCCGAAGGGUGGAGCAGCUAAGCCAUUGACUUCAGCCACAAUCUACCCAACCGGUUAGCGAAGAAGACCCCUCCUUAGGGACUCCUGAGCUGGUGGAAUCAGAGACUCAGAGAGCUAAUAGUUCCAACUCUGCCAGCUCCUAUUGAUUACUAUAGUGAAUCUCUCUGUCAGGCUGGAGUUAUUAGGAAAAGGCAGGAACUGUAGAGGUCUGUUUGGUGAAGUCAUCUCUGUGUUAAAGCCCCAAUGCUAUUCUAUCUCUUACGACUUUCCAGAGGUGCUGUUCUACAUGUCUUGAGAAGAAACGAAAGGAGCCCUGAGAGAGAAUGAGGAGUUAGUAUAAAUACCUGAGGCUCAUACCUGAUUUCUCCCUUGCUGAAGCCAAAUCCUAUUAAUUUGUGCUUGGAUGAAGAGUGCAAGACUGGGUCCUUGCAGGAACUAGCCAAUUAUCAGAAGUUAUUAUUUGUUUUUUCUGGUGAGCCCUGAAGUCACUGACUGUGUUUCUAGGACUGAGGCUACACAAAGGU